GGGGCGGCUCCUCCCACUCCGGGGCGAGGCUGGCCGCCGCGCAUGCGUAGGUGGUGGCCCCGGGCUGCUUUCCGGCCGCGGGAAGGCGGAAGCACAGGACCUGCCAGGUUUCCGGCUGCCGGGGUGCGGCGAGGUGGGUGCGCGAUGGAGGGGCGAGCGGCGGCAGGAGGCGACCCGGACGGGCCCCGGGAGCGGCGGGGCCCUGGCGACACUGCGAGGCCGCAGCAGAACCACCAGGCGCGGCCUCAGCCCGCGGUGGACCGGCUGCCCAAGCAGUCGUACUGGCUGGACCUCUGGCUGUUCGUGCUGGUGGACCUGGUGUUGUUCCUGUUCGUGUACCUGUGGCCGUGACGGUUUGCCUGACAUCCACAUUAAGAUGUUGGCUCCUGGACUGGAUCCUGAAAAUGACCCACUUCUUGAACAAAGAAGACAGACAGGAUUGUGCGGCAGGAUUUCAAACUCUAAGGGACCUUCCUCUUGUCUUACACAUUUGUUACUCAUUCGGGGACUCUAUUAAAUGGGUAAUGAAUGAUUCAUA